GCCUUGCUAGCUCAGUGGUAGAGCGUCUCACUCGUACCCGUCCAGGCGAUGAGAAGGUCGCUAGUUCAAACCUGGUGUGAGGCA
rnacentral:tRNA from 1 species